rnacentral:rRNA from 1 species
UACAGAGGGGGCAAGCGUUGUUCGGAAUUACUGGGCGUAAAGGGCGCGUAGGCGGCCCGCUAAGUCGAACGUGAAAUCCCGGGGCUCAACUCCGGAACUGGAUCCGAAACUGCCAUGCUGGAGCGUGUCAGAGGGUAGCGGAAUUCCCGGUGUAGCGGUAAUAUGCGUAGAUAUCGGGAGGAACACCUGUGGCGAAAAGCGGCUACCUGGCCCAAUACUGACACUCAGGUGCGACAGCGUGGGGAGCAAACAGG